AGCGAACGCUGGCGGCAGGCCUAACACAUGCCAGUCGAACGAACACUUCGGGGUUAGUGCCGGACGGGUGCGUACCACGGGGGAACACGCCUGUAGGUUCGGAAUCGCUCAGGGAAACGUGUGCUAAUACCGAAUGAGCCCUCCGGGGGACAGAUGAAUAGAGCUGGGAGCGGCCAGCGUCUGCUUAGCUAGUUGGGUGAGGUAAUGGCUCACCAAGGCGACGGUCAGUAGCUGGCCUAAGAGGACGAUCAGCCACAUUGGGACUGGGACACGUCCCAAACUCCUGCGGGAGGCAGCAGUGGGGAAUCAUGCGCAAUGCGCGAAAGCCUGACGCAGCCGUGCCGCGAGAAUGAUGAAUGUGUUAGGAAAGUAAAAUUCUUUCACCGGGGACGAUAAGAACGGAACCCAGAGAAGAAGCCCCGGCUAACAUCGU
rnacentral:rRNA from 1 species